UACAGAGGGUGCGAGCGUUAAUCGGAAUUACUGGGCGUAAAGCGUGCGUAGACGGUUAUGUAAGGCAGUUGUGAAAUCCCCGGGCUCAACCUGGGAACUGCAUCUGUGACUGCAUCGCUGGAGUGCGGCAGAGGGGGAUGGAAUUCCGCGUGUAGCAGUGAAAUGCGUAGAUAUGCGGAGGAACACCGGUGGCGAAGGCGGCUCUCUGGACCGAGACUGACGCUGAGGCGCGAAAGCGUGGGGAGCAAACAGG
rnacentral:rRNA from 1 species